AUUGAACGCUGGCGGCAGGCCUAACACAUGCAAGUCGAGCGGAUGAGUGGAGCUUGCUCCAUGAUUCAGCGGCGGACGGGUGAGUAAUGCCUAGGAAUCUGCCUGGUAGUGGGGGACAACGUUUCGAACGGAACGCUAAUACCGCAUACGUCCUACGGGAGACAGUGGAGGCUCUGCGGACCUCACGCCAUCAGAUGAGCCUAGGUCGGAUUAGCUAGUUGGUGAGGUAAAGGCUCACCAAGGCGACGAUCCGUAACUGGUCUGAGAGGAUGAUCAGUCACACUGGAACUGAGACACGGUCCAGACCCCUACGGGAGGCAGCAGUGGGGAAUAUUGGACAAUGGGCGAAAGCCUGAUCCAGCCAUGCCGCGUGUGUGAAGAAGGUCUUCGGAUUGUAAAGCACUUUAAGUUGGGAGGAAGGGUCGUUACCUAAUACGUGACGAUUUUGACGUUACCGACAGAAUAAGCACCGGCUAACUCUGUGCCAGCAGCCGCGGUAACAC
rnacentral:rRNA from 1 species